rnacentral:rRNA from 1 species
AUUGAACGCUGGCGGCAGGCCUAACACAUGCAAGUCGAGCGAGCGGCGGACGGGUGAGUAAUGUGUGGGAAACUGCACGAGGGAGGGGGAUAACUACUGGAGACGGUAUCUAAUACCGCAUAACAUCAGAUGUGCCCAGAUGGGAGUAGCAAGUAGGUGGGGUAACGGCUCACCUAGGCGACGAUCACUAGCUGGUCUGAGAGGAUGACCAGCCACACGGGAACUGAGACACGGUCCAGACUCCUACGGGAGGCAGCAGUGGGGAAUAUUGCACAAUGGGCGCAAGCCUGAUGCAGCCAUGCCGCGUGUGUGAAGAAGGCCUUCGGGUUGUAAAGCACUUUCAGCGGGGAGGCGUUACCCGCAGAAGAAGCACCGGCUAACUCCGUGCCAGCAGCCGCGGUAAUUC